UUUCCCUCUCUCUCCACUUCUCCAUUCCCUGCCCCUUCCUUGUCUCAUUCCCCUCCCUAUCCACCUUCACCAACCCCAUCCCCCAUGCACCUUCCAUUCUCCUCCCCUCCCCAUCACCCCUUCCCAUAGUUGGCAGGAUUCCACAACACUGACGAGGUCCAGGUCAGCUGCUUCUAUACAGUGAACAUCACAGGUGGUGUCGUUCUAGCUUGUGUAACUCUCAGUAUUUUUAAUCCUACCUAGAGAGAUGGAAAAGCCCUUGGCAGAGAUGGAACCUAUGGUUAGGGAACUGAAACUAGCUACGUCAACGAAGGAGGGUGAAGCAGCUUUAGUUUAGUGGAGGCGCAGGCUUCGAAGGAUGAAAUUAGUGUCUAAAUCACAGAAUUGUCAAAGAGGGGGCUCUCGAUCUGUCCUCGUUUGACUCAGCAAUGGAAGGAAGGAGUGUCCCUUCAUACAUGUUCUAUCGACCAACUGAUAGGAAGCUAGAUAGAUUUGAAGGGAGACUGGAAACACCAAGUAAUCCUUCGGCUGACGAUUAAAUUGAGGAUGCAUAGAUAGUCACGGCAUCCAAGUGGCUUAAUGAGAGUGAGCAGGCAGCAUUCUUGAUGGAGGAUCUGUUUGGUAAAGCCUAUAGAGAAAAACUAGGGAGACAUUUUGAUGUCCAAAAAAGUUCUCAACUGAUCUUUGAAAUCCUGACAAGGGUGUUUGGUUGUAGCAGAAAUUCUAAUAGUUUGAAAGAAAGGAGAUAGUUUCAGUCUCACUUUCCCUGGCGCUUGUAAAUCUUUUUGACCAAAUUGUCCCCUGGAUCCCUCCUUCAAACCAACAAGGGAAAGCCAGUUGAAAAAUUGCCCAUCUGGAGCUGUAAGGGAUGAAAAUGUCCCGAUGGAGCUGAGGAAAGUUAUCAGUGACAAGCUCCAGCUGUCCUUCAUGAUCAUCAUCAUCUGCAUGAUCACAUUAUCAAGAUCAGGGGAAAGUAUAAAAUUUCUAAAACAAGGAGGGAGACUAUCAUCAGAGAGGCAACUGAAUGGCAUAGCAGACUUGAAGGGCCAAGUGGCCUACUCCUGCUCCUGGUUUAUAUGUUCAAGAUUUGGGGUUGAUGCAUACCUAAUUGACAAAGUUGAUGUGAGAUUUGAUGGGGUAGAAGCAUUGUGUCUAAUUGAUAAGGAGCAGAAUUGUCAACUAUGACCACCCAAUUCUUCAGGUGGCACCCAGCUCAAAGAUGUGAGCUGGAGGAUGUCUCUUCACUCAUCCGAAUCUCCACUUUGCAAGCUUCGGACAUCCCUUAUCAUGGUUAUGUCGAGCUCUCCAUAUCUGUUAACUAUCACCCCUUCCACAACCUUAGAUUUCUGACAGCUUGUGACCCAAUAGAUAGUCCAACAGAAGUAAGGAAGUUGAGAAAACUCCUGGUAUUAAGGUUGAAUGUGUUAAGAGACAUCCAGACACCCCUGGAAAGCAUGCAUGAUGACAACUGUUGUGGAGAAUGGACCUACUGGAGAAGACAUCUCUAACCUCAUCUUAAAGAUGGACAUCAACAAGUUGGAGGAAAUGCAAAGGCAGCAACUUAUCUGUACUCUUACCAAAUACACAACAACUUUGAGUAAGGAGAUGAUGACAUUUGUUAUUGUGACCUGGUGAGCCACAGGAUUGUGACUGAGGAUAACCACCAGAUAAAGAUUGCUCACUGCACGAUCCCACCACAUCACUGGGAUAAAGUCAGGGAGUACCUGCCGAAGUCCUUGGAACGACGUAUCAGUUGAGAUUCCUCGUGAGGAAGAAAGAUAGGAAGCUGAGGAUUUGUGUGUCGACUACUGGGCACUCAGCAUGAAUACGCAUGAGGAUGCUUAACCUCCACCGAGAAUUAAGGAGGUGUUACAAAUCCUCAGUACAAAUAGAUAACAAAAUAUAGCACUUCACUAUUCUUUUCCUAAGUGUUAUGGACAGGAGGGGCAUUAAUUUAAACAGUAGUAAUUUCUCCUCUCACUAACUGUAAACAGAAAGGUGUUUUGAUUUGUUUCCCUCUUUAUAAGUGGUAGCGUGUUUCCCAACCCGGUUUUGGUGUGAUCCAAUUUUCUAUUAAUAACCCCUCAGCAAACUCAAGAUGGGAUGAACUCAAAGGGUUAGUUUAUUUGCACACACUUAAAAUGCGGGAGGAGGGUUGCAACAUUACCUCCUUUGCAUUCAUGCAGUAAAAGGGAGGGAUAGGGAAAAGAAGGAUUUACAGUACAAAGACCGCAUGGGUUCAAGAGUCCAGAAUCAAAGUCCAAUGAGGUAUUCUUUCAGUGAGGUUGGUGGGCUGAUAAACUGAUGUUGUAGAAUUCACUUUUCUGGUGGAGUUAACAUCACAUAAUGAGAUAAGCACACAGAGAUGAAUCAGUCAUGUAGAUGAUGGUGCAUAAUUUCCAGCAGAAACAGUGUAGAUGCAGCCAGGUGCCCAACCUGGGCCAGAAUUCCUUGCCUGUGAGGCUGCUAGUUAGAUGGUUAAAAAAAGCAGCUUGAGACUUUGCAGUUCAGCAAGGCAAUAUUGCUGGUUCCACAAGCCAGAGGCCCAUGUCACAUGACCCCCACCUCUCCACACCGAGUUUGACAAAGUACAUGUAUCCCUCGUUUGGGUUGUCAAGAUUGUCAAAUGUCUCAAUGAUUAAGAAUUGAAAGGAAGGUUCUGGAGCCCUUUGUCUUAGCAGAUGAGCAGACUCUUAUUGGCCAGCUUGAGUUAUGAAAUGCAGAUGGCCUUUGUAUAGCUCUCUUUGCAUUUGAUCUGUAUCGCCCAUAAGGGGUCGUAGUGACUCUCCAGGAAUAAUAAUGUGUGAGUUUGCCGGAUAUUGCCAGGUAGCUUGUUUGGGGUCACAGACACACAUAGAUUCAACCAAUUUAGGCCUUUGUAAAAUUUAAAAUUUUUCGAAAUAGCAAUGAGCAUAUCUCUAUAUAUUUUCAAGUGAACUUUCGCUUUAUUU